CUAGCUUGCUAGUUGCUGACGAGUGGCGGACGGGUGAGUAACGCGUAGGAAUCUACCGAGUAGUGGGGGACAACAGUUGGAAACGACUGCUAAUACCGCAUAAUCCCUGAGGGGGAAAGGAGGGGAUCUGUUUACAGACCUUUCGCUAUUUGAUGAGCCUGCGUGAGAUUAGCUAGUUGGUGAGGUAAUGGCUCACCAAGGCGACGAUCUCUAGCUGGUCUGAGAGGAUGAUCAGCCACACUGGAACUGAGACACGGUCCAGACUCCUACGGGAGGCAGCAGUGGGGAAUAUUGCACAAUGGGGGAAACCCUGAUGCAGCCAUGCCGCGUGUGUGAAGAAGGCCUUCGGGUUGUAAAGCACUUUCAGCGAGGAGGAAAGGAGUAUGUUUAAUAAACGUGCUCUGUGACGUUACUCGCAGAAGAAGCACCGGCUAACUCCGUGCCA
rnacentral:rRNA from 1 species